GACGAACGCUGGCGGCGUGCUUAACACAUGCAAGUCGAGCGGUAAGGCCCUUUCGGGGGUACACGAGCGGCGAACGGGUGAGUAACACGUGGGUAACCUGCCCGGAAGUGGGGAAUACCUCGGGGAAACUCGAGCUAAUACCGCAUGACAUCUUUGGGACGAAAGUCCUGACGAUCAAAGCGGGGUCGCAAGAUCUCGCGCUACCGGAUGGGCCCGCGCCCGAUUAGCUAGUUGGUGAGGAACGGCUCACCAAGGCUUCGAUCGGUAACCGCCUGAGAGGCGAUCGGUCACACCGGAACUGAGACACGGUCCGGACUCCUACGGGAGGCAGCAGUGGGGAAUCUUGCGCAAUGGGCGAAAGCCUGACGCAGCAACGCCGCGUGGAGGAUGAA
rnacentral:rRNA from 1 species